rnacentral:rRNA from 1 species
UACAGGGGGUGCAAGCGUUGUUCGGAAUUACUGGGCGUAAAGGGCGCGUAGGCGGUCCAGCAAGUCAGGUGUGAAAGCCCGGGGCUCAACCCCGGAAUUGCAUUUGAAACUGCUAGACUAGAGUACAGUAGAGGAUGGCGGAAUACCUAGUGGAGAGGUGAAAUUCGUAGAUAUUAGGUAGAACACCGGUGGCGAAGGCGGCCAUCUGGGCUGUUACUGACGCUGAGGCGCGAGAGCGUGGGGAGCAAACAGG